rnacentral:rRNA from 1 species
CGUGGGUAACCUGCCCAUCAGAGGGGGAUAACAUCCGGAAACGGAUGCUAAAACCGCAUAGGUCUUCGAACCGCAUGGUUUGAAGAGGAAAAGAGGCGCAAGCUUCUGCUGAUGGAUGGACCCGCGGUGCAUUAGCUAGUUGGUGAGGUAACGGCUCACCAAGGCCGUGAUGCAUAGCCGACCUGAGAGGGUGAUCGGCCACAUUGGGACUGAGACACGGCCCAA